GGUCGACUCCGGCGGCCUUUGGCACUGUGCAGGAGAUUGAGCCGGCGGUCUACUGGCUAAGAGGUUCGGUUUCCCUAUCUCCGUCGGUAGCAUCCACACCUCCGCGUCAGGCUGGACAGGUGGACGGUAAUGUUCCUUGGCAGGCAGUGGACGGUUCGGAAUGGGGAUGGAUUGAGCAACAAUAGAGUGUUUUCAUUGUCCUAGGGUGGUUUGGGCUGGAGCAUUGGAGCUCCGACGCUUGUGCCGCUGCGCCCCAAAGUUGUGAAAUGGCUUCUACUGG